UACGUAGGUGGCAAGCGUUGUCCGGAUUUACUGGGUGUAAAGGGCGUGUAGCCGGGCUGACAAGUCAGAUGUGAAAUCCGGGGGCUCAACCCCCGAACUGCAUUUGAAACUGUUGGUCUUGAGUAUCGGAGAGGCAGGCGGAAUUCCUAGUGUGGCGGUGAAAUGCGUAGAUAUUAGGAGGAACACCAGUGGCGAAGGCGGCCUGCUGGACGACAACUGACGCUGAAGCACGAAGGCGUGGGUAUCGAACAGG
rnacentral:rRNA from 1 species